GCCUAACACAUGCAAGUCGAACGGGACUUAGCGGAAUGCGACUUCGGUCAAAUGAAGUUAAGUUUAGUGGCGAACGGGUGAGUAACUGGUGAGGAACCUGCCUUCCAGUGGGGGACAACAGCUGGAAACGACUGCUAAUCCCGCAUAAUAUGUACGGAUCGCAUGGUCUGUACAUCAAAGCUUUAUGUGCUGAAAGAUGGCCGCGCUUCUGAUUAGCUAGUUGGUGGGGUAACGUCCCACCAAGGCGACGAUCAGUAGCCGGGCUGAGAGGACGAACGGCCAGAUGGGGACUGAGAGACAGCCCAGACUCCUACGGGAGGCAGCAGUGGGGAAUAUUGGGCAAUGGGGGAAACCCUGACCCAACAACGCCGCGUGAAGGAAGAAGGCCUUCGGGUUGUAAACUUCGUUUACCAGGGACGAAGGACGUGUCGGUACCUGGAGAAAAAGCAACGGCUAACUACGUGCCAGCCGCCGCAGUAAGAC
rnacentral:rRNA from 1 species